rnacentral:misc_RNA from 1 species
CACUUCAAACAUUGAAAGUUUGCUACAAAUGCCUAUUGGUUCAGGAAAAGCUAGUGGUGCUAUAAGUGCUCCAAAUCCAUGGUUCAAAAUUCAUUUUAUUGCUAAUUUUACCAGAGUAUAUUUUUAAGGCGAAUUUAUUGGAGCCUAAAGUGCUCACUUCCUACCAUGAUAAGUUAAUUCACAGUUCACAUUCAACACUUCAAGAUCAUGAUGCUACUAAUUCUCCAUGAAAAAGGAUGUGAAAAGAUCACCCUAGAAAGUGAAGCUAAAUAAACAUGUGUACUAAGCUUAAAAAAGGGUGCAGAUCUCAAAACUGUGCAUUAAUUUGCAUCAUCAUUCGAAAUCUCGCAAUCUCAUCGGAACCCUUUCCAGUUGAAUUCCAGCUAAGCCUUAUCCGCAUCAGCUUGUGGACUAGUAAUCCCAUUGACCAAGAGAACUGGGCAAAGUGAAGGUCACGGUGCAUUAGACAGAACACUGCUGCUUUAUUUUGAACAAUGAACUCCACAUUUUGGCCAUGAAUAGACGUGCUUCAUGCCUUCAUCUAUGUCUUCUGGAUAGCAACAGCACUUGCACAAAUCUACAUAUGAAGUUUCUGCCUUAUAGAUUUGGUUGUCAAGAACUUUAUUGUAUUUUCAGGAAGAAUGUAGUUGCGAUAAUUUUCUUGUUAGUCCAAUCAACAUCUGACAUCUCAGGCUGAGAGGAGAACCAGCAUACACUGUCACCUAAUGGUAACAUGAGGCAUUGAAGCUGGCAACUUUUUCAAGUCUUAGAUUCCCUCAUGAUUGUUAAUUUAUCUAUUGCAUAUCUUUUAAUAUAUUCUUUGACAUUAUGCGUCUGCCAACCAUAAGAUUCCAGAAAAGAUUUAAGAUGCUUUUGUCACCAGCAUAAGAAGCAUUAAAACACCGGUAGAUUUUUACAGUAAUCAUCAGCCUUCUUCUGUACAUUUCAUCCAACAGAUCUGAAGCAGCAUUUGCCUUUCCAAUUUUCCAGUAUGCGUAUGCUAGACUAGUGUGGAUGACACUAUCUGCCAAUAUGCCCUUCUCUUGCAUGAGACUAAAUAUUCUUUGAGCACAAUCAACCUUUUCUCUUUUGCAAAGCCUCCUUAUUAGUGCCCUGUAUAAGGAUAUAUCAGCACAAAGACCACUUCUUACAAACUCGUCUGGGAGUUUGAUAACUGCCUCUUCCUUGUGUUGAUCGCAGUAACCAUCUACAAGCCAUGAAUAAGUGUGGUAACUAGGAGAAAAUCCUGCAUGAAGCAUGCUGAACAAAAGCUCUUUGGCACUGUCCAUCUCCUUAAUUUUGCAGAAUCCAUGGAUCAAUGCUUUGUAAGUAAACUUAUCUAGCUUCAAACCAGCAUCCACCAUUCUGUCCUUCACUUUCAAAGCUGACUUUACGUCCCCUAUCUUGCAAUAAGCAUUAAUCAAUGUGUUACAUGUGACAUUAUCUGGUUCAAUCUUCCUUUCAUUCAUCUCAUUUAGGAGCUUAUUUGCAUCUCUUAUCCUGCCUUCCUCGCAUAACUUGCGCAGAAUUGAAUUAUAAGUAACAACUGUAGGAUACAGCCCUUGUGCUUCCAUUACUUCUCGCAAUCUCAAUGCCUCAUCAAGGUCAUUCACUCUACAAUACCCAUCAAUCAAAGUAGUGUAAGUCACAUGGUUAGGAGUAGCAUUUUUAAUUUCCCUAAAAAGCCUAAGAGCCUCUCUCAUUCUACCUUCUCUACAAAAGCCAUAAAUAAGUGAAUUAUAAGUAACAAUAUCAGGGCUAAUUUGUCCCCUAUCCAUUCUAUCUUGAAUACACAAAGCUUCAUAGUGCAUACCCUUUUUGCAAUACAAUGAAAUCAACGUAUUGUACGUGAAAAGAUCAGGAAAAACACAUUUUGAUUCCAUUUCACUUAACAACUUCUCCGCUUUCCCCACAUCCCCAGAUUUACAACAAGCAUGAAUCAACACAUUGUAGACAUGAAUAUUAGCUGCAACUCCAAUCCUAACCAUCUUCUUAUAAACUUUCCACACCAUAUCAGUCAGCCUUUCCUUGACCAACGAAUUCAAUAGCACAGUACAAGCAUGCAAAUGUGGCCUAAACCCAUGUAUUCUCAUGUGCUCAAGAACCUGAAGAGCUUCCUGUGUCAUUUUGGAAUUCGCAUAAACUAUCACAAGCCAGCUACAAACAUGAGAAUUCACAUCUGGGUCGUCAUGAAGCCUCACUAAAGCACUCAAAACCGAUUGAGUUGACAAGAAAUCCUUAUAGGCAAUCUUCUCAACUACACUCUGUGCAGACUUGAAGUGUUUGUACUUGGUUAAAAUGUGAAUCAUUGUCCACGAAGAUUGUAAGGAAUGUUUAUAGUAAGGAAUCGAUGAUUCAAUCCAUUUGAAGAAUGCCCAAGAAAGAGAAGGACUAUUACUAUAUAAAGAAAGCUGCAAUAGUACCUGGUGAACGGUUGUUGUAGUAAGAUUAGACCCUAUCUUGGAUCUCAAGAGAUUCUUCCAGCUGCCCUUUACUACGGCUGCGCAUAUGCUUUGAACUAGUUGAGCAUCAUUGUUCAGAGGGGCUAAAGUAGCCAUAUUUUGUGUGGACUCCGGCAACGAGUUAAUGGUAUUCUAUUAUCCUGGGUAUGUAAGUGCUAUCAUUGUGGGGUAAGCAAUAGGAAAUACGAAAAAUAUUGGGGUAAAAAGGUGGAAAUUAAGACACUCAGG